UCCCUGGUGGUCUAGUGGUUAGGAUUUAAUGCUAGCACCACCAAGGGCCCAGGUUCAAUCCCUGGUCAGGGAA